CCUACGGGAGGCAGCAGUGGGGAAUCUUGCACAAUGGGGGAAACCCUGAUGCAGCGACGCCGCGUGAGCGAUGAAGCCCUUCGGGGUGUAAAGCUCUUUCGGCAGGAACGAUAAUGACGGUACCUGCAGAAGAAGCUGCGGCUAACUACGUGCCAGCAGCCGCGGUAAUACGUAGGCAGCAAGCGUUGUUCGGAGUUACUGGGCGUAAAGAGUAUGUAGGCGGUGAGGCAAGUCUGGUGUGAAAUCUCCCGGCUCAACUGGGAGGGGGCGCCGGAAACUGCCUGGCUAGAGUGCGGGAGAGGAGAGCGGAAUUCCUGGUGUAGCGGUGAAAUGCGUAGAUAUCAGGAGGAACACCGGCGGUGUAGACGGCUCUCUGGACCGCGACUGACGCUGAGAUACGAAAGCGUGGGGAGCAAACAGGAUUAGAUACCCUGGUAGUC
rnacentral:rRNA from 1 species